GGAAAAGUCUGUUGAAUUUCAGUGUUUCUUCCUAGGCUGGGCUUUGGCUUGAGACUUAGGGACAGGUUGCAAGCCCUCCCGGUUGCAGCAGGCAAUAAAUGCCUCGGUUUGUUCCUGCUUUGUGAAGAAUAUUUGCUGACCAUCAAAAUGCAGGGGCUGCUGCUGGUUUUGACCAUAUCUUUGGGGCGUGCUUCCUGCUUUUGAAAGUUCUGAAGUCACAAUUUACGUGGCUGUAUCUUUGCGUGAGGCCAGUUUUACUUGGCAGCAGAAGGUGUGACUUUGAAGCACGACAGUUCUUUUUUGCUGUCUCCUUGCCAGUGUUCCAUAGCUCUGCAGGUUUUACAUCCAGGUUACAGUUAAUACUGGAAGAGUUACCCUGAGCAAGUCCCUGUGUCACUUUAACAGUGGCCUAGGAGAUGCCUGGAAGAUAGUGGGUGCACUGUGACUCCUUCCUGGGAAGAUCUUGUUCCAGGGACAUGGGAUACCAGGAUGCCCUGAACAACAUCCAGUGACUGAUAUAUUUUACAGGAACUGCCUCGCAAUGGGUGUAAAACCUCAAUGCACAUUUCUCUGAAGGUCUUCUGUCCCUCCUGAAGACCUUCAUUUUGGUCAUCCUCAGUCUUUGAACUCCUGGCAUGUUAAAUUUUUGGACAUUAUGAAACACAUCAGGAGUGUCUGUUGAAAUGAAUGAAUGUUCCAGUGGGCAAUGCACACGUGAGAGAAAAUCCUUGAGCGCAGUGGCGGAACACUGCUCGGAGUAUCUGCCUGGAAUACCAAGCUCUGAGUUUGCACAGGCUCGAUGGCAGUUUCAGAGUAACAAAAGGAUAAAUGAUGCUGAUCUUUCUCCACACAAUGACACCUUUAAGAGAGAGUUACAGUCAAAACCACAUGCAUUCAGAUUGUGCAGCGUUGUGUCCGUGAACUUCCAGAGUUUGCAUUAAAAAGUGACAGAACAUCAGAGUGCCAGAAGCUUCUCAUAUUGUGGCCCUGAAGGUAAAAGCAAAACUAUCUUGGUCUGUGUUUGGGAACACUGUACAGAAUCUCUGCA
rnacentral:lncRNA from 1 species